rnacentral:misc_RNA from 1 species
AAGUCGUAACAAGGUUUCCGUAGGUGAACCUGCGGAAGGAUCAUUUCCGAACAAAACAUCAUAUCAACCAACCAUGUGAAAUGUUUUGGGUGACCUUUACUGGAGGGAUAGCUGGAGUUGUUAUGCUCGCCUCGUGCGCGUAUAGCUCAUCUCCAAAUUUUUUAUCCCUCCAGGCCUUGAUGAACUACCUUGUAACAAAGGUUGAUUUUAUAUCGUCUUUUCAACUUUAGAAAAGUAAAUGAUAUGACAACUUUUAACGGUGGAUCUCUUGGCUCGU